ensembl:lncRNA
GCAAUUGUGUGGUUUUAUCAGAAGAAAAGAGGCCAGCCAACUGCUGAAUGCAUGCUCCAUAAUUAAAUAAGCCUGUAGUCCUUAAGUGGGGGAAGAGGAACUAUGAUGCUCUGUGCUUCAUGGGAAGAUUUGUCAUGGGGAAAAUCUAUGAUGAUAGGAAUAUCAAAGAGCCUACAGCAAAGGAAAUGGUCAUUAGAAAUGUAUUCUCAGGGCAGAAAACCUUUCCGGCUCUCAUUGUUCUAUGACAUAGACUACAUUCUUGCACUUACAUCCUCAAACCAAACUAUGUUUAAAGGAGUGAGUAAUUCUAUAUGGCUCACUGUGCCAUACACUGUUCGAAAAAACAGAAAAAAGUGAUGGAAACCUACACAAAAAAUCCUUAGUAGAAUGCAGAUGGAUAAAGAAUAUGAAAUUACGACGCUCUAUUCAAAGGAUUUAAACACUCAUCUCACAGCCAAAUCCUAUCCCUGAUUUCUACGGGGAAUGUCUAAAGUAUGUUCUCCUUCACAGACAUAGGAAAAAUACUACAGGACACUGUUAGAUGGCACAUCACAUUAUACACAAAUUGACAAAAUAAUUAAAGUUCAAUAAUAAUUAAAGUUCAAUAGUUAAAAUUCAAUAAAAAUCUGUUUACCUUGUUUGUAGACACUGAACUCUGCUUUGUAACUUUUUACCAACAGCUGAUAGAUAAGACUUUACUAGAAUGAACAUAAUUCUGUUUCUAAAGUCUUUUUCGUCUCAUAUGUAUUUACAUAGAGCAUGGCCUUGAGCUAAUUUUUUUUAGUUCUUGUUCUUCCGUAUUAGCCCUAUUCAAUUUUAUUGUAUUAUAUUUAAGAUUUAAAAUAAUAAUGAUUAUUAACAAUUACUGUACUAUUUAUGUUCUUCUGUUAUUCAUUACAUCUCAUUUCCCUUCAACCACUCUAUGCAGCUCUCCCCAAAUAUGUCUCCUCUCACCCCAGAUCCACUCCUCUUCCCAUUCUCUUAAAAAACAAUGUGAAACAAAACUAAACAAAACAAAGAGCUGCUUCCCCAAGGAUGUGUCAGCAGAGCACCCGAUCUUAGCAUAAAAAGUUACAGUAAAGCUAGGAUCAAAACCUCUCAUUAAAGCUGGGCAAUGCACGAAGUAUAGACAGUGUGUUGAUGGGUGGUAUGUUUCCUUGUUAACAAUUAUCUUUAAAUCUCUUCUGACAAGUGGAUUUAGAGAACUACAGUAAUUCGCAAAAGAUGCUUUCUAGAUAAUACUGUGGAAUCCUUUUCCUUUCAUUACUGUCAACAAUAACUAAGAUCUAAUUGUGGAGUGCUUCUCCAAUCAAUAGACCCCUUACAGGAAGUAAGUCAUAAAAUCUCUACUCUCUAUGGUGCCACUCCCCCUCCUCCACCCCUCUAUCCCCAGCUCCCAGGCUUUAGGGAGAGACUCUUAAUAUGGUGAAACUACAAGGACCAAAAUUCCUUUCGGUUUUCAACUUCCCCUGGUACCAAGCCUAAAAGUGGCAUCUGCCUUCCUUAACUUACUGUACUUGGAGGAAGACAAAACAGUGCUUUGCUUUUUCCGUUUUGAGGUUCAGGAUAUUUUCUUUUGAAUGAAUUUGUAAUUAUAUGAAUAGUAUAAGUCUGCCUUUUUUUUCGUUAGUCUUGUUUUCUUCAAAUAUAGAUUUACAAAUAUAUUUUGCUUUUCAAAAUAAGGGAGUAAAGAGUCAGCUUUAAUUGGGGGAUUACAGAAGUCACGAGUCACUUCGCAUAAUUUCAAAAUGAAAUUUUUUUUCGAAUUUUUAGCAGAUUGGUAGACUGUUUUAUUUUUUACAGUCAAUUUACAUGUGAUUCUUUAAAAGGAAUGUGGUUGUCUAACACAGUGCAUGCUUUGUAUUCUGCAGUUCUUUUAUAUAUCUGCCAAUAUUUAUCUAAGCACAGAAGUAUGAGACAGACAUUAUAGGAGAUGAUUGCUUCAGUAACAUAUAGUUUGUCCUUAAGGAUUAUACCAAUUACAGUGGAUGGGGAUGGUCUCACUGAUUUUAUGCAAUUAUUUGCCUUUUUUUCAUUUAAUAUUUAUUACUCUUUUUUGACUGUCAGUAAAGCAGUUUGUUAUGAAAGCAAAAGAAACUUCAACAUAGUCUUUUUUAAAGACGUUUUGAUUAUAUAAGAGUAUAGCAUAGAAUCUUAGCCAUUAAUUUAUAGCCGAAGAACAACUGAAGGAAAAAUGACUAGAAAAUGACUAACUACUGAGAAAGGCUGACUCAAGAAGGAUCAGAGGGAGAAGAAACCAUCCUGAAAAGAGGAGGGAGAGAAACACACUCAGAUAUGCAGACAAGUGGAUUCUUGCUUAUAGAGAAAUGGUUCUUGCAAAGCAAAGGGUAAAAGCAGAUCUAUGUAGUACUUUACAAGCUAUAUCACAAAACCAUUCUUAUAGAUGGUUAAUGUGGUUUAUCAUUCACUCCAAUAGCAAAAGACCAAUGAGGUGUGCCCAGAUAAAGUGAGAAAAAUGAAGCAGUUGUAGAUAGCAUCUGAGAAUACAUAUAUUAGAGCAGAUAGACUAUUUCAGGGUCUAAAAAUGGUUCUUAUUAAUAUUGAAUUAUAUGUUAAAAUAUACAUAUAUCCUAAAUAUAAGGUUCUGUAUCCUGGAGGAAAUUUGAUUGAGAAGGGAAAUACUGUCAUUUUUAGGACAUUUAAGUGUUUUGUUGUUGCUGCUGUUCUUGUAUCUGCUGUAACUGUUUUACCUGAUACUUUCAGGCAUCUAAUUCUAAAGCUUUGUUCCUAUGUGUCAAAUGCUCUACUUGUGUUCAACGGUGUCAUUCCAAUAAUUCAAGUGCUUUUUCCCCAAAGGUAGAUCUUCCUUUUUUAAACAUAAUACCCCUUUCCAAUAAACAACCCUAAUAUGUUUCAUGAAUUCUACCAUCAAAUAUGAACUGUGCCUAAAUUGUUGUGUUUACUCUGAUUCUCAACAUCAUCAUUCCAAAAUAAAAUUGAAUAUAAAAUUCCUUGAAAAUUCCCAUUCACUGGAAUUUCUGAUAUACUUGUGGAGGUAUGCUGAGAUUUGUAGCCAAUCUUAAGGACCAGGGGAUUUCUGGAAAGAGGGGAAAGAAUUAUUUCUCAGUCCUCACAAGUGGUGAUGAAAAUUGUGUGAAAAUGACCUGUAAUUUCUGUCAAAACAGUGUGUCAUUCUUUUUGCUUUCUGCAAUUUCCUCCAGUAGCCAACUACUUUAUGACAUAGUUAUUUAAACUAUUGGCAUCUAAGGAAUCAAGUACUACUUUCUCUUACCUAAGUAGAAAUGUUACAUAUCUUUGGGCUAUUUUAGUCAAUGCUCAACCUGUAGACAAAAUUGUUUAGUCUCUAAUAUCCUCUGAAGGUGAUAGUCACUUUCAAAAACAUAUUUUCACGUGGCCAGGUUUUAAUAUUAAUAUUUUAUAUUGUCAUUAAAACCUCCCCUUUCCCCAAUGGAUUUCUCAGUCUUCAGUGAAAUGAAAAUCAAAAUGAUCCUGUGAUUCUACCUCACAUUACUCAGAAUGGCUAAGUCUAAAAAACUCAGGUGACAGCAGAUGCUGGUGAGGAUGAAGAGAAAGACGAACACUCAUUCAUUGCUGGUUGGACUGGAAGAUGGUACAACCACUCUGAAAAUCACUCAGAAAAUUGGACAUAGAACUGCCUCAGGCCCAGAUAUACCACUUCUGGUCACAUACCGGAGAGAUGCUCCUACAAAUAACAAGGGCACCUGGCCCACUCUGCUCAUAGCCUUAUUUAUAAUAGCCAGAAGCUGGAAAGAACACGGAUGCCCUUCCACAGAGGAAUGAAUACAGAGAAUUUGGCUUAUAAAAAAAUCACUGAAUUCUUUAAGGUACAUAAUUAGUAAAGUGUUUGAAAUGCAAUGUGACAGAUAUUUUGAUAUUCAAUAUUUGGUAAAGUACUUGCCUAACUAAACAGAUUUGAGCUUGAACUUCAUCAAAAUGCAGGUUACAUUGUGAAAACAAGGAAGAGCAGAUCACAGGAGGUAGACACGCAAAAAUAUGAAUCUCAAGAUCAUCCUAAGCAAGUCUAUGAACUGACUGAGUCCAUUUCAAAGGAAAGAACAUGUCAUUACUGGCACAAAACCUGUGCAAGUUUGGAUCUGUUAACCUUCUGUCAUGGGAAGCAGAGAAGGGCUCAUGAACACCAUAGUAGAAACUUUAUGACAGCUUGGCUUUGUACAAAUUUGGCAAUUAUUCUACAGUGGUAAUAUUUCUGAAAAAAUAAUUUGACACUUGCUCAUCCAGCAGCCAUCGAUGUUAAUUUCAUAUGAUCAAACUAUUGGUGAGUACACAUUUAUCGUAAUUGGAAUUUUAAUGGUUUUUCAUUAAUUAUCGACCAACACUGAAUGCAACCAGAAUUAUUUCUCAGAAAACCCUUAGAACAGCACAAAUUCUUGGAUAUAACCUGAAACACAUAUUUUUGUGUGUGAAAAUGAC